GCAAAAGAAAUCAAAGUAUUAAGAGUCUCCUCCGGCCACAAGAUCCUUAAGGUGAAUGGCAUAUGAUUCAAGUUCAGGAUUCUAGUCCAUGGUCCAAAGAGCACGAACGGUUACAGUUGAAGCAACUGUUGGAAGCUCUAUUGCCUUGCAAUAGUUUUUUCAAAUCAUUUCUAGGUUUCGAUCUAGGAAGCGGCAGACCAUUGAUUUACUUGCGACCAGUUGGUUAUUCAAUGUUGAAAGAUUCCAUAGGGUUCAUGUAGAAUGAUCAAUUUUUGAGGU